AAGAUAUCAGGAAUAAACAGGAAAUACAAAUCAUUCAUUCUGAAGACGAUCACUGCAGUGUCAGUAUCAGCUCAUUCUAGACUCCCCUCCUGCAGAGUUAAAUUCCGACUUAUCAAGUAUUCAUGUAGAAUUGAAAAUUCCAUCAGGUGUUGAAGCUUAACUCAGGAUGGCAGGUGGCGCCUUCUGGAGCAGAACCUCCUGAGGUGGCUUCCACUCAUGAACUCUCUGCUUGUCCUGUCAUGGUCAAGGAGGCCGUCCAUGAACUCAUAUCCUGCCUGAUUUACCGUGGUAAUUCCCUGCGCCAUCAACUCCACUCAAGUGGUCAUCUGCUCCACCGUCGGGGUCUUCGGCCCGGUCUGUUCUACUGUGUGUGUCUUCAGUACCGCUGACUAAGCCCUGGCUUCCUGCUCCACCAGUUGUGACCUGUUGGUCAUCAGUUCUUCUGGCUCCGCCCUGGCUUCCUGCUCCACCCUGGAUCUGACCUGGUGGUCUCCUGGUCCACUGCUGUAUGGUCUGCCUCUGCUUCUUGGCACAGGUCCUCCACUGUUCCAUUGUCUGCAAGUGUUCCCUGGUCCAGGCCAACCACUGAUUCAAGCCUGCCUCUACUCUAUGAUCCCGUUCCGGCUCCCUUCCACGGGCCUAGCCCCCCAUCCUGCCCCCUGGACCAUCACUGCUUCGACACCCUCCUGGAAAUUUGGGAUUUUAUUUUUUUUUUUAAGGGGGGGGGGUGUUUUUGGUUGUGUUGGCAUUCAUGCUUUUAGUUUAGUUUCUUGGUUUGUCAUGUGAUCAUGUCAUGUGCUACCCUUGUCAGUGUGUUAUGUUCUGAUUGGUUCCUUGGUUCAUGUGUCAUGUUCUCAUUGGUUGUCUUAGUCAUGUGUCAUGUUUCUUGGUUCUUGUCAUGUGACCAUCAUUGUUUGAUAUAAAUAGCCCUCAUUUGGUCUUUGUUCUUUCCCUAGCUUUGAACCGUGUAACCUGCUGUUGGUGAAUUGUGUUUCUGCUUAUGCUAAGUCUGUCUCUGGUCAAGUCUGUUCAUGCCAUGCCAAGUCAAGUCUAUUCUAAGUCAAGUUUCAAAUAGUUUGUUAAAAUCAAGUAUUUGUUUGUAUUUUGGAUUACACUCUGCUUAAUAAAACUGUGCUUGGGUUCAUCUUCUA